AAGUAAGAAACUCUGAUGGAUAAUCAAACAGAAGCGCACAAAAGUUUUCAGAGUGGUCACUGCCAUGCUUAUUGGACUGAACAUAAUUGCCAUUCUCAUAAAACAGAAACUGAAGCGACUGAAUUGUGUUUUCGGUGAAAGAAACAAAAAUACCAGCAACUUCACUUCGUCCAUUUUCUUCCCAUAUGGAACCAACAUUGCUUCCCACUGGUCCAACUUUGAUCAUCUCAAAUUUACAAAAACAAAAAAACA
rnacentral:misc_RNA from 1 species